AUUAUUAGCACAGAAACUAAAAUACUCUGUUUAUACGCAGGCUAGAUAUAUAAGGGGAGGGUCCACUGCAUUCAAGCUUCCCCACACAGCAUCGCCAAUCUACCUAAACUCUGAUUUGAAAGGACCACUAACUGCAGGGGUGAGAAAUGAUCAUUCACUUCCCAUGCUCAUUCCAUCACAUCCCCUCU
ensembl:misc_RNA